rnacentral:rRNA from 1 species
AACGAACGCUGGCGGCAUGCCUAACACAUGCAAGUCGAACGGUGACAGAGGAGCUUGUUGCUCUGGAUCAGUGGCGGAGGGGGGAGUAACACGUGAGUAACGUGCCCCACACUCUGGAGUAAGCGCAGGAAGGGGCGUCUACUCCCGGAUACGAGACAGCGCUGCAGGGCGAGCGUGCGGUAAGUUAUGCGGUCGGGGAUGGAAGAGCGGCCUAACGGUUCGUUGGUGAGGUAGCGGCACACCAAGGCAAGGGCGGAUAGCCGGCCUGGGCGGGCGACCGGCCACACUGCGACUGAGACAGGGCCCAGACUCCUACGUGAGGCAGCGGUGGCAAAUAUUACACAGUGAGCGCGAGCCUGAUGCGGCGACGCCGCGGUAGGGAUGCCGGCCUUCGGGUUGUGAACCUCUUUCAGCUGGGACCAAGCUGAUGUGACGGUACCUGCAGAAGAAGCACCGGCUAACUUCGUG